CAUAGAAUAUGCCAUACUUGUAAUCAACUUCCUGUUUGGAACAGUCUCUUCCUUCUCUUCAUUCUACCCCCUGAGGUCCCCUGCCAUGUGGAGGCUAAUUGUUGCCUAAGGAAAGAACACUCCAGUCUUUACCAGUUGGUUUGUGAUUCUGAAGACACAGGGGCAGCUACCAGCAGCCUGAGUCCUGGGGCUGGCUGAGCGAAUCUGUCACAGAGGCCAAAUUGAGAGUAGAGUUUUUGGGCCUGAGGCUGGGGUUGGGUCCUGGGGCCAGGGCUAGGACCAGGUGAGUGAGAUGGCUGGAGGCAGGUGCAGGAGCUGGGGCUGGACCGGGACCAGCUUUUCUAUCUGCUCAAAAACCCCACAUCCAUAGCUACCACCACAGGAAAAGAAGAAAGCAAGAGGCAGAACUACCCAGAAUUUAUAUCCUGCCUACAUCAGCUUGUAAGUACAGGAGGAGAAUGGGAUGCUGGGAAUUGUAGUUCAAGGGUACAGAAUUCUAAUUACAGUUCCCAAAGCACUAUGUGGGGGUAUGAGAUUUGUUGUUUUGUCCUACUUUUCUUCCCUACUGUGUUUUAUUUUGGUCAUGUCAUUUGUCUCCCCAGAAAACCCUUGGUGGUCUUUCUCUUCCCUUCUCCACGCAAUAGCACCCAUCCUUGGUUGAGGAUCACACUAAAGAGCCUUCCCUGUGUCAAAACUUGUAGCACAGUAGGAUCUGAUUUACCCCAAGUUUAGUCAGUUUGAAAGAUGGAGACCCCAAAGCUUGCCCCUGUCCCCAUGAGAAUCCACCCUGAAGAGAGUCUUAGACCUUAAGUAUUUAAUGGACUUAGGUAGGUGUAGUUAACAAAUUUUAAUCAAAUGCUAAAAUAUCCUUCAGUCCCAUAACCUCUCUCCCAUUUAUCAGAGACCGUUUCCCUAGAAGACCUACACUAGGGACAUAGUAUUGUAAAUCACAAUUCCCUUACACCCUAGCCUCUAUGGUUCGUUUUCCAAGCUUGAUAUAGCUGGUCAGCUAGUUUGAACACCCAUUUCCUUGUAGCUAUAGUAAUGUCAAUCAAUCAUAUUUCCCUGUCCCUGGGUUUCCCAAAAGGUAUAUUGAGUUCCCCAAAUUCUUUUGUCAGUUGGAGCUGUCCCUUAGCACAUUGUCACUCCCAGGGAUAUUGUCCCCAGAGUCUAGAC
rnacentral:lncRNA from 1 species